UAGAACGCUCACGGUUAGCAUUGUCCUCGCGACGGAAGCUCUGAGUACGCUUGGCAAGUUUUUCCUCAACACGUUGAAGCACGGAUGUAUUGUCUACGGGCUUGGCACCACCGAAAGGAUCUCUUUUAGGCUUGGAAGAUGUAGUAGUGGUAGCAGAGGGAGUAGCUUCGGUGUUGACGUUGGAGGAGGAACGAGGUUUUAAGUUAAGACGAGGGCGCUCAGAGGAUUCACGUGGAGGAAGGGGUCCACGACGAACCCAUUCACGUGGCUCUUCACGAACACGAUCGGAAGGAUCACGAGCAGGAUCACGGAAACGACCACUGUUGGUACGUCUCUUGCCAAACGGAGAUUCAGCAGGUUCAGCAGGAGGAAGAGGUCCACGACGAACCCAGUCACCAGUAGAGCGUUCUUCACGGGCAAAUGAACGACGAGGCUCUGCAACAGUGAUGCGGACUGGACGUCCCA